GCCCCGAGGGGAAAGUACCUGGCCACCAGCUGUGGAGAGAACAGGAUGAGAAGUUGAAACUGGGUAAGGAGAAACCAGGAUCCUAGAGUGAGUGAUGCUGAGAGGUUGUCUGGGAAGCACAAGGACAGGGUUCUGAAAGAAAGAGAAAAGGAAAAGACCCGAGAACCGCUUUUGAUGAAGAUUCCCCCAGAAUGAGUAAUCUCUAGGGUCGGUUCCCAGCCCAAGAUUGAUGGCACCACCACAUCUGUUGAAGGAUGUUUUCCUGUUAUCCGCUUGGACAGCGAUCAAAUGAAAUCCCACCGGGGUGUGAUGUUGAAAAGAAGACUUAAGUCAGACCCUCUAGGAGCCAACAUCUAGGAAGGAGGAGGAUGGAAUACUUUCCUUGCCUGCUUGCUGCCUGCCUCUGUAGAUUCCUCAAUAAAAGAGCACUGGGCCCUGACCACGUAGCUCAGUUGGUCAGAGCUUCACCUGGAUACACCAAGGUUGUGGAUUCCAUCCCACCAAUGAAUGCAUAAAUAAAUGGGAACAACAACUCCAUGUUUCUCAUCACUCUCUCUUACUUUCUUUCUCUCUCUCUCUCAUCAAAUUAAAAAAAUUAAAAAUAAAUAUAAAUAAAAAUAUUAAAAGAGCCCUGAGACCACUUUAGUUGCCUCCUAACUCAUUCAAUAGUCCACCUGGCAAACUCCUCCUACUUUCUCAAGACACCAGUAUCACCUCCUUCGCCAAGUCAGAAUUACACACUCUCCUUUUCAACAUUUUUUUUCCUUUACCUUAUGAAGUCGUCAUCACCCCAGUUACUGUUUACAUCUGUCUACCCCUCUAGACCAGAGCUCCUCAAUGACAAGGACUGUUUCAGAUAUACUUCUAUACCCUCAGACCCUAGCACGUAGUACAUACUCAAUAAAGAUCUUUGUUCCUAUUGUAUUAAAUAUAAUACAACUAACACUUUCUCAUGAUGCCAUCUUCAAUUAGAAUAGCCAACCAGUUACUUGAAGCCCUCAUAUUUAAAGACUUGGCUUAUAUGCUACUUAUUUGAAGGAGCCUUUUAGGAACUCCCACCCUACUUCUUAGUUGCUCUUGUAUAUUCCAUAUUAUACUCUGCCUUGUCCUUUUAGUUAGUUGAGGACUUUUUUGCACCCCCUACUACACCUUAAAAUCCUUGAGGACA